rnacentral:rRNA from 1 species
AGAGUUUGAUCCUGGCUCAGAUUGAAUUCUGGCGGCAGGCCUAACACAUGCAAGUCGAACGGUAACAGGAAGAAGCUUGCUUCUUUGCUGACGAGUGGCGGACGGGUGAGUAAUGUCUGGGAAACUGCCUGAUGGAGGGGGAUAACUACUGGAAACGGUAGCUAAUACCGCAUAACGUCGCAAGACCAAAGAGGGGGACCUUCGGGCCUCUUGCCAUCGGAUGUGCCCAGAUGGGAUUAGCUAGUAGGUGGGGUAACGGCUCACCUAGGCGACGAUCCCUAGCUGGUCUGAGAGGAUGACCAGCCACACUGGAACUGAGACACGGUCCAGACUCCUACGGGAGGCUGCAGUGGGGAAUAUUGCACAAUGGGCGCAAGCCUGAUGCAGCCAUGCCGCGUGUAUGAAGAAGGCCUUCGGGUUGUAAAGUACUUUCAGCGGGGAGGAAGGGAGUAAAGUUAAUACCUUUGCUCAUUGACGUUACCCGCAGAAGAAGCACCGGCUAACUACGUGCCAGCAGCCGCGGUAAUACGGAGGGUGCAAGCGUUAAUCGGAAUUACUGGGCGUAAAGCGCACGCAGGCGGUUUGUUAAGUCAGAUGUGAAAUCCCCGGGCUCAACCUGGGAACUGCAUUCGAAACUGGCGGGCUUGAGUGCGGUAGGGGAGACUGGAAUUCCCGGUGUAACGGUGGAAUGUGUAGAUAUCGGGAAGAACACCAAUGGCGAAGGCGACUCUCUGGACUGUAACUGACGCUGAGGCUCGAAAGCGUGGGGAGCAAACAGGAUUAGAUACCCUGGUAGUCCACGCCGUAAACGAUGAGUACUAAGUGUUGGAAGUCAAAAUUUCAGUGCUGCAGUUAACGCAGUAAGUACUCCGCCUGAGUAGUACGUUCGCAAGAAUGAAACUCAAAGGAAUUGACGGGGGCCCGCACAAGCGGUGGAGUAUGUGGUUUAAUUCGACGCAACGCGAAGAACCUUACCUAGACUUGACAUCUCCUAAUUACCCUGUAAUGUGGGAAGUCCCUUCGGGGACAGGAAGACAGGUGGUGCAUGGUUGUCGUCAGCUCGUGCCGGGAGAUGUUGGGUUAAGUCCCGCAACGAGCGCAACCCUUAUUGUUAGUUGGUACCAUUAAGUUGACCACUCUAGCGAGACUGCCCGGGUUAACCGGGAGGAAGGUGGGGAUGACGUCAAAUCAUCAUGCCCCUUAUGUCUAGGGCUACACACGUGCUACAAUGGCAAGUACAAAGAGAAGCAAUACUGUGAAGUGGAGCAAAACUCAAAAACUUGUCUCAGUUCGGAUUGUAGGCUGAAACUCGCCUACAUGAAGCUGGAGUUGCUAGUAAUCGCGAAUCAGAAUGUCGCGGUGAAUACGUUCCCGGGUCUUGUACACACCGCCCGUCA